AGUAACACGUGGGCAAUCUGCCCUGCACUCUGGGACAAGCCCUGGAAACGGGGUCUAAUACCGGAUAUGACCAUCUUGGGCAUCCUUGAUGGUGGAAAGCUCCGGCGGUGCAGGAUGAGCCCGCGGCCUAUCAGCUAGUUGGUGGGGUAGUGGCCUACCAAGGCGACGACGGGUAGCCGGCCUGAGAGGGCGACCGGCCACACUGGGACUGAGACACGGCCCAGACUCCUACGGGAGGCAGCAGUGGGGAAUAUUGCACAAUGGGCGAAAGCCUGAUGCAGCGACGCCGCGUGAGGGAUGACGGCCUUCGGGUUGUAAACCUCUUUCAGCAGGGAAGAAGCGCAAGUGACGGUACCUGCAGAAGAAGCACCGGCUAACUACGUGCCAGCAGCCGCGGUAAUACGUAGGGUGCAAGCGUUGUCCGGAAUUAUUGGGCGUAAAGAGCUCGUAGGCGGCUUGUCACGUCGGUUGUGAAAGCCCGGGGCUUAACCCCGGGUCUGCAGUCGAUACGGGCAGGCUAGAGUUCGGUAGGGGAGAUCGGAAUUCCUGGUGUAGCGGUGAAAUGCGCAGAUAUCAGGAGGAACACCGGUGGCGAAGGCGGAUCUCUGGGCCGAUACUGACGCUGAGGAGCGAAAGCGUGGGGAGCGAACAGGAUUAGAUACCCUGGUAGUCCACGCCGUAAACGGUGGGAACUAGGUGUGGGCGACAUUCCACGUUGUCCGUGCCGCAGCUAACGCAUUAAGUUCCCCG
rnacentral:rRNA from 1 species